rnacentral:ncRNA from 1 species
CGACCUCAGUUCAGGUGAGAUUACCGGCUGAAUUUAAGCAUAUUACUAAGCCGAGGAAAAGAAACUAACAAGGAUUCCCCUAGUAGCAGCGAGCGAACAGGGAAGAGCCCAGCGCUGAAUCCCCCGGGCCUCGCUCGGCGGGAAAUGUAGCGUUUGGGAGGGCCCGUCAACACGGCGACUCGCUCACUGGUUCAAGUCCAACUUGAAUGGGGCCACACAGAGGGUGACAGGCCCGUAGAGCAGGAGCGGUUGUCGUGUGGGUCUCUCCUUAGAGUCGGUUUGCUUGAGAGUGCAGACUUAAGUGGGUGGUAAACUCCAUCUAAGGCUAAAUAUGACCACGAGACCGAUAGCACACAAGUACCGUGAGGGAAAGGUGAAAAGAACUUUGAAGAGAGAGUUCAAGAGUACGUGAAACUGAAGUGGUGUAAACGGACGAGUUCGAAAAGUCCGAAUGGUGAGAUUCAAGCUUACCGUGCCGGUGGCCCUCGGGUUCAGAUGGCGUCGUCAGCUCGGGCUUCGGUUCGGGUCAUACGGCGUCACUCGUCCUGGGGGUAUCUGUCUGGUGCGGUGGGCUGCACUUCUCGCCUAGUAGGACGUCGCGACCCGUUGGGAUGUUCCGUUCACUGGCCCCUGGUGGAGCCCGCGCCGGAGCGUGGCCUUGUGCCGCGUUGCUGUUUGCACGGACCCGGGGUGACCUGAUCGGCGCCCGACGGUAUCAAAGCUUGGGAAGAGGCCGCACAGAGGAUGCGUUCGAUGGCCGUUUCGGCCUACACUCGGACAGGCCUGCACCCGGUCAGCGGCGCUUCUGCUUUCGAUACUCGUCCGACCCGUCUUGAAACACGGACCAAGGAGUCUAACAUGUGCGCGAGUCAUUGGGCUCUGCGAAACCUAAAGGCGAAAUGAAAGUGAAGGCCACGCACUUGUGCUGGUGCUUAGGGGUGAUGGUCGUUCCUACACGGGCGGCCCGCAACCCCGGGGCGUCUCGUUCUCUUUGAGAAGUGGCGCACCCAGAGCGUACACGUUGGGACCCGAAAGAUGGUGAACUAUGCCUGGCCAGGACGAAGUCAGGGGAAACCCUGAUGGAGGUCCGUAGCGAUUCUGACGUGCAAAUCGAUCGUCGGAGCUGGGUAUAGGGGCGAAAGACUAAUCGAACCAUCUAGUAGCUGGUUCCCUCCGAAGUUUCCCUCAGGAUAGCUGGCGCUCAUAUAGAGUUUCAUCCGGUAAAGCGAAUGAUUAGAGGCCUUGGGGCCGAAACGACCUCAACCUAUUCUCAAACUUUAAAUGGGUGAGAACUCCGGCUUGCUUAGGUGAAGCCGCGAGACUCACGAAUCAGAGUGCCAAGUGGGCCAAUUUUGGUAAGCAGAACUGGCGCUGUGGGAUGAACCAAACGCCGAGUUAAAGCGCCUAAAUCGACGCUCAUUGGAAACCAUGAAAGGCGUUGGUUGCUUAAGACAGCAGGACGGUGGCCAUGGAAGUCGGAAUCCGCUAAGGAGUGUGUAACAACUCACCUGCCGAA